AAAUGAAUAAACCUUUCAAGAUAUAUAUAUCAUAAAAAUUAUCCUCGUUUUCGACAAUUUUGUGCUAUUAAGAAUGCAUUGUGACGUCACAAUUUCCAUUGAAAAAGCAUGCAUAGUACGAAUUCACAUGAUGUACGAAAACAUAUGAUCAGAUGAUAUUUGGACUAAUCGGCACCCUGUUCAAUACCAGAAAACAAACAAUGUCAUUACACCAGCUGCAUUACACGUUGUUGCUAUUUGUCCAACACUGUUACACAGGCACUUGUUUCUAUCCACUUGACUGGAUAUCAGAAAAGUUCAUUUAAAAUUUCCAUUUCACAACAGAAAAUAUCUGACAGCA
rnacentral:lncRNA from 1 species